rnacentral:rRNA from 1 species
UACGAAGGGGCUAGCGUUGCUCGGAAUCACUGGGCGUAAAGGGUGCGUAGGCGGGUCUUUAAGUCAGGGGUGAAAUCCUGGAGCUCAACUCCAGAACUCGCCCUUGAUACUGAGGAUCUUGAGUUCGGGAGAGUGAGUGGAACUGCGAGUGUAGAGGUGAAAUUCGUAGAUAUUCGCAAGAACACCAGUGGCGAAGGCGGCUCACUGGCCCGAUACUGACGCUGA